AAUAAUAGAUAUCAAGAAAAUAAUAUUAGAAGAAGUAAUAAACUAUGAAAUUGAAACUGCAAAUUGUCUAGAACAGUUAUACGAAGAAAUUUACCCAGAAGGAUAUUAUUCAGAUUAAAAAAUGUUAGAAUAUAUUAGACAAACUAGAGAAAAUCAAGAAAAUCUAAAUAAUGAAAUUAAUUAUAGAAACCGAAUUAGGAAAAUAAUGGAAGACCGUAACAAAAGUUUUGAUUGAAACAGUUGUACAUUAAUUAGAUUGUUUAGGAAUAAUUUUUCUUUGUUAUAUGUUAAGGUUAAUUGUGUAUGUUCUAUAUUAUAUGGUUUUACUUGUUCUAACCAUUUUAUUCCUAAUAUUAUAUCUGCUUUUUGCAUUUCUUCCUUUACUUCAAAUUCUAUUUUUAUUUUUCUAACUCCUAAUAUUAUUUCUUUUUCUACUAUAUUUUUAUUAUUUAUUAAACUUCUUGGUAAGUCUGGGCAUAUAUCAUUAUCAGUUUUUAUUUCUUCAUUUCUUACUAGAUAUUUUGCUAUAUGAUUUUCUUCUUGUCCUGUAUUCAAAAGUAUUAAAUAUUCUUUUUCAUUUAUUUUUCCCGUUAUGUAAUAUUGGUUUAAAUUACUUAAUGAAA
rnacentral:lncRNA from 1 species